GCUCGGGUGGCGAAAUUGGUAGACGCGUGCGCUUGAGGGGCGUAUGGAGCAAUCCAUGGGGGUUCGAGUCCCCCCUCGAGCA
rnacentral:tRNA from 1 species